rnacentral:lncRNA from 1 species
ACUGAUCUGCAAUUGUUUGAUUUGGAUUCAUCCACUUAGGAAUCUAAGCAAACAGAUCAGCUAUCACCAUCAUAUUUUCCCAGAUAAUUCGACAAAGGGAAAAAUUGUCAUUCAACAAAUGGGACAACUAGGAAAGGUUUAACCUGCUAAAGGUCUUGCCUGGCUGUGGAAGACAUUUGGAUGAAAUAAAUGGGUUAUAUUUGGCAUACAUUAGGAAAGAAAGUAGAGAAGUAUGUAAAAAACAUCCGAAAUUGGCUCACUUAAAUCCAUAACUGGUUCACUUAUAAAUCUACUCUCUUCUUUUUUUAAUAUAACUAGACCAAUUUUAGUAGCUCUUAAAUCAACACAACUGGACUCAU